UACAGAGGGGGCAAGCGUUGUCCGGAAUUAUUGGGCGUAAAGAGCUCGUAGGCGGUUUGUCGCGUCGAAUGUGAAAACCCGGGGCUCAACCCCGGGCCUGCAUUCGAUACGGGCAGACUAGAGUUCGGUAGGGGAGUCUGGAAUUCCUGGUGUAGCGGUGAAAUGCGCAGAUAUCAGGAGGAACACCGGUGGCGAAGGCGGGACUCUGGGCCGAUACUGACGCUGAGGAGCGAAAGCGUGGGGAGCAAACAGG
rnacentral:rRNA from 1 species